rnacentral:rRNA from 1 species
UACAAAGGGAGCAAGCGUUAUUCGGUCAAAUGGGCGUAAAGUGUCUUUAGGUGGUUUAACGAGUGUUAAUGACAAAAUCUCAUGACGUUAUCAUGAAAUGUUCAUUAAAACUGUUUUUCUAGAGUUUUUGAAAGGUUAGUAGUAUUUUUUUAAAAAGGUUAAAAUUUUUGGACAAAAAAAAAGAGUACCAAUGGGUGAAAACAACUGACUGUUGAAAACUGACACUAAAAAGACUAAAGCAUGGGGAGCGAUAGGG